AACGAACGCUGGCGGCAGGCUUAACACAUGCAAGUCGAACGCAUCCUUCGGGGUGAGUGGCAGACGGGUGAGUAACGCGUGGGAACGUGCCCUUCAGUUCGGGUAACCCAGGGAAACUUGGGCUAAUACCGGAUACGUGCGAGAGCAGAAAGAUUUAUCGCUGAAGGAUCGGCCCGCGUCUGAUUAGCUAGUUGGUGGGGUAAUGGCCCACCAAGGCGACGAUCAGUAGCUGGUCUGAGAGGAUGAUCAGCCACAUUGGGACUGAGACACGGCCCAAACUCCUACGGGAGGCAGCAGUGGGGAAUACUGGACAAUGGGCGCAAGCCUGAUCCAGCCAUGCCGCGUGAGUGAUGAAGGCCUUAGGGUUGUAAAGCUCUUUCGUCCGGGACGAUAAUGACGGUACCGGAAGAAGAAGCCCCGGCUAACUACGUGCCAGCCGCCGCCGUAA
rnacentral:rRNA from 1 species